UCCCCAGUGGCUCAGAUGGUAAAGAAUCUGCCUGUUAUGCAGGAGACCCAGGUUCAAUCCCUGGAUUGGGAA
rfam:TPA: Bos taurus chromosome X, whole genome shotgun sequence.